CGGGGCGCUGCUGAUUUUUAUUUUUAUUUUCGUUCUUUUUUUCCUCCCCCCCCGCCCUUUCAAGAGUUUCCUGGUUGCUUCUUGCAUUCAGAUGAGCUUAUCGUGAUUUUUUUUUUUUUUUCAAAUGUGAAGGUGCCCUGUUGGGAGUGAGCUAGCCAGGUUGGGAAGGAAGGAAACAGGGGCUUGAGGGUCUCUCCGGGCAUCCUGCACACGGGGUGGUGGGGGGGGGGGUGGAGCUGGGAAGUUAUUGUCAGGGAUUUUGCAAGGUCUUGUUUGCAGUUGAUGCAUCAAGGUCUGUCCCAGUACUUAUUGCAAUCUUGGAUGUGGAGAGCGCUGCUGGAUCUGGCUCAUUUAGGAAGUCAGAGUCCCUUUGGUUUAUGCUUCCAGGAAAUAGGAAAAGAGGCUUGGUGAGACACCUUAAUGGUUUCUGCCUCAGUCUUUUCAGAUUUAUAGACUAUCCAUAUGUUGCAAAUUAAAUAGAAGAUACAACUGAGAGUGUGCUUCUGCAUGGGAGCAUGCUUGUGAUAAUUCUUGUGUGACGACUUCUACUUGCUAGAGGAGAAGUGAAAGUUUAUCGGAUGCAAACACUGCUUUUUCCCAUAACCACAGUUGAAUGUAAGCUUCUGAUAAGUAUUUUUUUAAUCUUCAAAAAAACCCCAAAAGCUGUUUACCUUGGCUCCCACCUGACUCUUGAUGCUUGUUGUCCCGUUCUCCCCACCCCAUCCUAUUAGGAGGUCAUGUGCAGGUAACAUCUUGUCUUCGGGCCUAUAGUCAUUCUAGAUCUUCAUUUAGACUAGAACAGUAAUUGUCUGCUCUGGACUUUCUUCAAGAGCAUUAUAUCUAACAACUACUUUGAACAGAAAUUCUUUUUGCAUAGCCUUAAAUUAUC
rnacentral:lncRNA from 1 species